UUCUCCGCCCCACACCAAUUUAAGAAAAGAAAAUUUCCUUCUUCUUCUUUUUUUUUUUUUUUAAUUUAUUUUAUUUUGUACUCGAAGGGUGCUGUCGCGAGGCAGCCGUCAUGGAAGGCAGCAAGGUUACCGCUGGUGGUGGUACGCUGAGAUAGUUGGCUGGGGUUAAGAGUAGGGUGGCAGGGGGCCGCGGCUUGGGCUGGCGUAGUCCACAUGCUAGUGCUGGAGCGCUAAGAGACAAUGAAGAAGGCCAGCGCGGGCUAGGCCUCUCGUGGGUGCAAGCUUGUGAGUAGAGAUAGGGAAAUGUAGGUCACAAGCCUACCUGGCAGGUCCAAGAAAGAAAGUGCAAGACCUAUUGGUUGUUGCGUUGAGAUGGGAGAUGCGGGUCCGAGGCCACUUCGUUAAAGAGGAGAGGGAGAGGCCAGUGCGCCGUGAGGAGGAGGCUGGGUCAUGGGGCCUACCUAUGGGCUUUACAGUUCAGGACAUACGGUGGAGUGGGGUUGGGGCCUCUGCUGACAUGGGCCGAGGGGUGCUGGGCCGCAAGGCACGUCUUCCAGUAAGAUGAGCUAUUUCGGGAUUUCCUUAAGAUGUAUAAGUGUGCAAUCUUGCCCGGAGUUCGCAUGAAACAAGUGAAGAAGGACGUAGCCAUGAAUCAUGCAGUGAGGCUGCCAAAGCUGGGAAGAGAGCCAUCAAGUCCCAUUCAUACUAUUUUAUGUUGGAAUUCUCCUUUCUCAUGCCGCGCAGGUGAUCUGCAUCAUGAAAUGCGCUCAUGCUCAAUAUUCCCUGAAUACAGUUUGAACGAUAGCAUGGUUCUCGAACCUGAGCAAGUUCUUUGAUUUGAGCCUGACCGUCAAUGAGUUCUAGUAUUUCUUUGAGAUCGGCCACUAGGAAGAAGUAGGGCAACUGAGGUCUCGCCAUGGGCUUUUCGAUUUGUCAAGCAAAUGUGACCAUGGGUGGUCCAGGGACACUCUGGGGAUCAGCUGAGAGUGGGAAUCCGACUUCUUGCCUGGGCUACGCGUCUCGACUGAGUUUAUUGAUGAUUAGAAGUUCGGCUCUACUUCAAAGACCUUGCCUGAUAACGUCACCUGGGUAUUCCUGCUGUAUACCGCGAAUGGUGCUGGCUGCUCAUUCUUCUUCACUCAGAGGAACCUUCACCACUAAUGUCUGUUUUGCAUAUUCGGUAUUCUCAAUGGCCUAACCAUGGAGUUCCCGAAGAUACAUUUUCUGUUCGUGAAAUUGAGAAAAGAGUAAUGUAUCAGGUAGCACCCGCCAUACCCGACUGCAGCCCAAUUGUGGUGCACUGCAAUACAGGUGUUGGGAGAACUGGAACGUACUGCACCAUUCAUGAUACAUUGCAGAGAAUUCUUUCUGGGAACAUGCCUGGUUUAGAUUUAGUAAAAACAAGAACCACAUUCAGAUUUCAGCGAGAUGGAAUGGUUCAGAAACCAGAGCAGUAUCGUUUACGUUAUGAUGCCCUUGUUGAUGAAUUAGAAGACCACAUCUCGGAUGGAUCCCCGGUUGAGUAUUUAGUGAAAUGAGCCAAACUCCUCCAGUAGAAUAGUUGCUUUGGACAGGACAUGGAAUUUAUUGUUACAUGUGAGGUACGCAGCCAGAUUCACAGUUAAUAAAUUAGAAAUGGCAGAUUAAGGCUAAUAUAUUGUAUCAAUCUGUCUUUGACUUAAGUCUUGACUUUGAAGUAGUACUUUUGCAGUUUGUAUUGUUAAUCUUUGCUUUAUGCUUCUCCUCCAUUGAAA